AUUGAACGCUGGCGGCAGGCCUAACACAUGCAAGUCGCACGAGCGGCGGACGGGUGAGUACUGUAUGGGGACUGCCCGAUAGAGGGGGAGAAAUACUGGAAACGGUAGCGAAUACCGCAUACUAUGGGAUAACCCAUGUGGGAUUAGAUAGUAGGUGAGGUAAUGGCUCACCUAGGCGACGAUCCCUACCUGGUCUGAAAGGAUGAUCAGCCACACUGGGACUGAGAAACGGCCCAGACGCCUACGGAGGCAGCAGUGGGGAAUAUUGCACAAUGGGCGAAAGUCUGAUGGAGCCAUGCCGGGUGUAUGAAGAAGGUCCUAGGAUUGUAAAGUACUGUCAGUAGGGAGGCGUUACCUACAGAGUAAGCACCGGCUAACUCCGUGCCAGCAGCCGCGGUAAUUC
rnacentral:rRNA from 1 species